rnacentral:rRNA from 1 species
AUCGACUCACUCCAACCCCUGUGACAUACCAAUUGUUGCCUCGGCGGAUCAGCCCGCUCCCGGUAAAACGGGACGGCCCGCCAGAGGACCCCUAAACUCUGUUUCUAUAUGUAACUUCUGAGUAAAACCAUAAAUAAAUCAAAACUUUCAACAACGGAUCUCUUGGUUCUGGCAUCGAUGAAGAACGCAGCAAAAUGCGAUAAGUAAUGUGAAUUGCAGAAUUCAGUGAAUCAUCGAAUCUUUGAACGCACAUUGCGCCCGCCAGUAUUCUGGCGGGCAUGCCUGUUCGAGCGUCAUUUCAACCCUCAAGCCCAGCUUGGUGUUGGGACUCGCGAGUCAAAUCGCGUUCCCCAAAUUGAUUGGCGGUCACGUCGAGCUUCCAUAGCGUAGUAGUAAAACCCUCGUUACUGGUAAUCGUCGCGGCCACGCCGUUAAACCCCAACUUCUGAAUGUUGACCUCGGAUCAGGUAGGAAUACCCGCUGAACUUAAGCAUAUC